rnacentral:rRNA from 1 species
AGUGAACGCUGGCGGUAGGCCUAACACAUGCAAGUCGAACGGCAGCACAGUAAGAGCUUGCUCUUACGGGUGGCGAGUGGCGGACGGGUGAGGAAUACAUCGGAAUCUACUUUUUCGUGGGGGAUAACGUAGGGAAACUUACGCUAAUACCGCAUACGACCUACGGGUGAAAGCAGGGGAUCUUCGGACCUUGCGCGAUUGAAUGAGCCGAUGUCGGAUUAGCUAGUUGGCGGGGUAACGGCCCACCAAGGCGACGAUCCGUAGCUGGGGUGAGAGGGUGUACAGCCACAGAGAGAGUGAGAGGCGGUCCAGGCACUUACGGAAGGCACAGAUGGGGAAGAGUGGAAAAUGGGCGGAAUCCUGAUCCAGCCGUGCCGGGUGGAUGAAGAAGGGCUUCGGGUUGUAAGGCCCUUUUGUUGUGGAAGAAAGGCAGCAGGUUAGUACCAGGCUGUUGUGACGGUACCUAAAGAAUAAGCACCGGCUAACUUCGUG